rnacentral:rRNA from 1 species
GCGGAAGGAUCAUUAAUGAGUUAGGGUCCUCCAGGCCCGACCUCCAACCCUUUGUUUAACUACCAUGUUGCUUUGGCGGGCCCGUCUUUAACCGGACCGUCGGGGGUUUUAAACCCCUGGCCAGUGCCCGUCAGUAGCCUACCACAAAUACUUUUUAACCAUGUUAUAUCUGAAAAUAGUUAAAUAAACUAAAACUUUCAACAACGGAUCUCUUGGUUCUGGCAUCGAUGAAGAACGCAGCGAAAUGCGAUAAGUAAUGCGAAUUGCAGAAUUCAGUGAGUCAUCGAAUCUUUGAACGCACAUUGCGCCCUUUAGUAUUCUGAAGGGCAUGCCUGUUCGAGCGUCAUUAUCACUAAUCAAGCCUGGCUUGCUGUUGGGUCUCUUUGUCGCUGAAACCGACAGGCCCUAAAGAUAAUGACGGCGUUACUUGGACCCUAGAUGCAACGAGCUUUCAUUAGCACGCGUUUAGUCGGACCUUUUAACCCGGUCUUUUUAACCAAUUUUCUAAGGUUGACCUCGGAUCAGGUAGGAAUACCCGCUGAACUUAAGCAUAUCAAUAAGCGGAGGAAAAGAAACCAACAGGGAUUACCUCAGUAACGGCGAGUGAAGCGGUAAUAGCUCAAAUUUGAAAUCUGGCUCUUUCAGGUCCGAGUUGUAAUUUGUAGAGGACGUUUCGGGCACGGCUACGUUUAAAUUUCUUGGAA